CUUUACUGUAACUUGAAAUUGAAAUUGGACUUUAUUUGCGCAGUAUAGGUGGGAGGCGUUGAAAGGAAUCUUGCGGGAUUCGUGGAGCCAUCAGUGAGAUACCAUUCCUAUAAUGUUAGAUUUCUAACUUUGUAUCAUGAUCUGGUCAAAGAACAGUUUCAGGCGGGCAGUUUGACUGGGGCGGUCGCCUCCCAAAUGGUAACGGAGGCGUACAAAGGUUUCCUCUGAACGGGUAGAAAUCGUAUCUAGAGUAUAAAGGCAUAAGGAAGCUUGACUGUGAGACCUACAAGUCGAGCAGGGACGAAAGUCGGUCGUAGUGAUCUGACGGUGCUGAGUGGAAAGGCCGUCACUCAACGGAUAAAAGUUA
rnacentral:rRNA from 1 species